rnacentral:rRNA from 1 species
AUUGAACGCUGGCGGAAUGCUUUACACAUGCAAGUCGAGCGGCAGCGCGGGCAACCUGGCGGCGAGCGGCGAACGGGUGAGUAACAGAUCGGAACGUAUCCUGGAGUGGGGGAUAGCCCGGCGAAAGCCGGAUUAAUACCGCAUACGAUCUUUGGAUGAAAGUGGGGGACCNCAAGGCCUCACGCUCAAGGAGCGGCCGAUCUCUGAUUAGCUAGUUGGCGGGAAAGCCCACCAAGGCGACGACGGGUAGCCGGCCUGAGAGGGCGACCGGCCACACUGGGACU